GAUGAACGCUGGCGGCGUGCCUAACACAUGCAAGUCGAGCGAAGCGCUGCUUUCAGAAUCUUCGGAGGAAGAGGACAGUGACUGAGCGGCGGACGGGUGAGUAACGCGUGGGUAACCUGCCUCAUACAGGGGGAUAACAGUUAGAAAUGGCUGCUAAUACCGCAUAAGCACACAGCUUCGCAUGGAGCAGUGUGAAAAACUCCGGUGGUAUGAGAUGGACCCGCGUCUGAUUAGCUAGUUGGUAAGGUAACGGCUUACCAAGGCGACGAUCAGUAGCCGACCUGAGAGGGUGACCGGCCACAUUGGGACUGAGACACGGCCCAAACUCCUACGGGAGGCAGCAGUGGGGAAUAUUGCACAAUGGGGGAAACCCUGAUGCAGCGACGCCGCGUGAGUGAAGAAGUAUCUCGGUAUGUAAAGCUCUAUCAGCAGGGAAGAAAAUGACGGUACCUGACUAAGAAGCCCCGGCUAACUACGUGCCAGCAGCCGCGGUAAUACGUAGGGGGCAAGCGUUAUCCGGAUUUACUGGGUGUAAAGGGAGCGUAGACGGCGGAGCAAGUCUGAAGUGAAAGCCCGGGGCUCAACCCCGGGACUGCUUUGGAAACUGUUCUGCUAGAGUGCUGGAGAGGUAAGUGGAAUUCCUAGUGUAGCGGUGAAAUGCGUAGAUAUUAGGAGGAACACCAGUGGCGAAGGCGGCUUACUGGACA
rnacentral:rRNA from 1 species